rnacentral:misc_RNA from 1 species
UUUGGAUAAAAAUACAACGCCAAGACCUAACUAGUCCAUUCAUGCCCAAGUCAACGAAAAAUAAAGAAAAAAAAAGGUUUGAGAUCCAAGCAAAUUAGUUUUACCCAAGACCCAUUAACAAAACAAAAUCUAGCUAAAUAGGUAGACGAUGAAGGUGCCUCCUCUACAAUAACAUCACCGUAGCUUGCGAAACUAAGGUUUGGGAAAAAAAGGUUGCCGGCUCCAUAUACCACCAUAUAGAAGGAGAGAGAACAUGUCUCCAAUGACGGAAA